AUUGAACGCUGGCGGCAUGCCUUACACAUGCAAGUCGAACGGUAACGGGUCCUUCGGGAUGCCGACGAGUGGCGAACGGGUGAGUAAUAUAUCGGAACGUGCCCAGUAGUGGGGGAUAACUGCUCGAAAGAGCAGCUAAUACCGCAUACGACCUGAGGGUGAAAGGGGGGGAUCGCAGGACCUCUCGCCAUUUGAGCGGCAGAUAUCAGAUUAGCUAGUUGGGGGGGUAAAGGCCUACCAAGGCAACGAUCUGUAGUUGGUCUGAGAGGACGACCAGCCACACUGGGACUGAGACACGGCCCAGACUCCUACGGGAGGCAGCAGUGGGGAAUUUUGGACAAUGGGCGCAAGCCUGAUCCAGCAAUGCCGCGUGCAGGAAGAAGGCCUUCGGGUUGUAAACUGCUUUUGUCAGGGAAGAAAUCUUCUGGGCUAAUACCCCGGGAGGAUGACGGUACCUGAAGAAUAAGCACCGGCUAACUACGUGCCAGCCGCCGCGGUAA
rnacentral:rRNA from 1 species